AACAAAAAUAAGAAGAGAAAA
rnacentral:miRNA from 1 species